UUGUACCUUGAAGGAGAGAAUAGCUUGUAAUAAGCAAGAUAAAUAUUGUUUUUUAACACAAAUAACUGGCUUUCCUUGUCAAUGCUUUAUCCAAUACUGAAUAUUAACAAACAAAACAAAACAGUCAUGCUAUUGCCACUUACAACAUAUAAACCAACACAACCUGGCUGAUCAGAUACUAUUAUUAUUAUUAGCAUAUUUCAGACUUUCAAAGAAUGGGGAGGCAUUUGCCUGCAGUCUUCAGAAAGUGGAGAGAGCUGCCCGGUACGCCUGCAGUACCGUAUCACGUCGCACCGUGCAACCACCUACCCACCAAAGCCAUAAGUACCAAGACAUUACUCAGUAUAAGAUAAAAAAAAAUGGGAUGACCUUUGACAAGCCACCAGCUUCCUGUAAUCAGAGGCUAAUAGAGAGAGAGGUGCUCAGGCAUAUAUUUAUUAAAUGAAGUUGAGUGAUGUGAUGGACAUAAUCCGGGCUUCAUAAGAACGACGCCCGCCAGCGUUAACACAUCUGACGACCCACAAACAUGGUCGAACGCACAAAACCCUUGACUGUGGCCAAUUUUUGGGUAAACUUCUAUUACAUUUAUUGUGAUAGUGAUAUUUGUAUAUAAUAAUAUGUAUUAAGGAUAAACACCUAACAUGUAAUAUUAAUUAAUAAAAACAAAGUCAGAAGCCACACGCCUGUCUUCACAGUCUAUUGUCUAUUAUGUUGUUUCUUGUAUAAAUAAAUAAUAUAAAUAAAUAAAUAAAUGUUUAGUCAGGUAAGGUAUAUACAUACAAGAGAUUUUACAAAAAUUGAUCGAUUUAUAGAUAGGGCUAGUACAUACAAUGCCUAA